UGGGGAAUAUUGGACAAUGGGCGAAAGCCUGAUCCAGCAAUGCCGCGUGGGUGAAGACGGCCUGCGGGUUGUAAAGCCCUUUAGGCGGGGAGGAACGACGGGACGUGAAUAGCGUUUCGGAGUGACGUUACCCGCGGAAUAAGCACCGGCUAACUCCGUGCCAGCAGCCGCGGUAAUACGGAGGGUGCGAGCGUUAAUCGGAAUUACUGGGCGUAAAGCGUGCGUAGGCGGAUGGGUCAGUCAGCCGUGAAAGCCCCGGGCUUAACCUGGGAACGGCGGUUGAGACGGCCCGUCUUGAGUGGGCUAGAGGAUCGUGGAACUCCCGGUGUAGCGGUGAAAUGCGUAGAGAUCGGGAAGAACACCGAUGGCGAAGGCAGCGAUCUGGGGCCACACUGACGCUGAGGCACGACGGCGUGGGGAGCAAACAGG
rnacentral:rRNA from 1 species